rnacentral:rRNA from 1 species
GACGAACGCUGGCGGCGUGCUUAACACAUGCAAGUCGAGCGGUAAGGCCCUUUCGGGGGUACACGAGCGGCGAACGGGUGAGUAACACGUGGGUGACCUGCCUUUAGCUUCGGGAUAAGCCUGGGAAACUGGGUCUAAUACCGGAUAUGACCUGUCCUCGCAUGGGGGUUGGUGGAAAGUCGGUGUUGUAAUGACGCUGUUCGGCUAGAGAUGGGCCCGCGGCCUAUCAGCUUGUUGGUGGGGUGANGGCCUACCAAGGCGACGACGGGUAGCCGGCCUGAGAGGGCGACCGGCCACACUGGGACUGAGAUACGGCCCAGACUCCACGGGAGGCAGCAGUGGGGAAUAUUGCGCAAUGGGCGGAAGCCUGACGCAGCGACGCCGCGUGGGGGU